rnacentral:rRNA from 1 species
UACGAAGGGUGCAAGCGUUACUCGGAAUUACUGGGCGUAAAGCGUGCGUAGGUGGUUUGUUAAGUCUGUUGUGAAAGCCCCGGGCUCAACCUGGGAAUGGCAAUGGAUACUGGCAAGCUAGAGUGCGGUAGAGGGUAGUGGAAUUCCUGGUGUAGCGGUGAAAUGCGUAGAGAUCGGGAGGAACACCAGUGGCGAAGGCGGCUACCUGGACCAGCACUGACACUGAGGCACGAAAGCGUGGGGAGCAAACAGG